rnacentral:sRNA from 1 species
AGCAAAGCAUAUUGCCGAAGACAGUAGGUGCCGCAAGGCGUAAACGUAAGUGCCUGCCGAGGAAAUGUAGAUGAUAUCUAUAUGAAUGAUUCGUCCUCUCUGUCUUCCACAGAGAGGACUUUUUU